rnacentral:rRNA from 2 species
CCUUCGGGGUACAGCGGACACAGGUGGUGCAUGGUUGUCGUCAGCUCGUGUCGUGAGAUGUUGGGUUUAAAGUCCCCGCAACGAGCGCAACCCUUGUCUUUAGUUGCCAUCAUUAAGUUGGGCACUCUAAAGAGACUGCCGAUGACAAAUCGGAGGAAGGUGGGGAUGACGUCAAAUCAUCAUGCCCUUUAUGUCCUGGGGCUACACACGUGCUACAAUGGUCGGUACAACGAGAAGCAAGUCAGCGAUGGCAAGCAAAUCUCUAAAAGCCGAUCCCAGUUCGGAUUGCAGGCUGCAACUCGCCUGCAUGAAGUCGGAGUUGCUAGUAAUCGCGGAUCAGAAUGCCGCGGUGAAUGCCGGUUCCCGGGUCUU